rnacentral:lncRNA from 1 species
CUUCGAUAAAUGAGUUUUGGGUGAAGGCUACAACAAUCAGUAGCCUCCUUACACAAAGACCGCAACCAAAAUCACCACACAUGCUUGCUUUUUAUUAAGCGCCCACGAGGUCACGCACUUGACACACGAACUAAACUCGACUCAUCCCUAAUAAUAAAAGUGCAGCUAAACUCCCCUAAGAUUCAACCCCGACUGGCGGCGCGACACAAUGCGUCUCUAGUUGCUGCCCUUGCUGAUGAG